rnacentral:lncRNA from 1 species
GCGAGUAGGGGCAGGAGGAGGCCCACCCUACGCCCUGUCCGGCGCGGGGCAUAAGCCCUGCCUGCAUCCUGAGAUCCCGGGUCCGCAAACUUGGGCCCCACUGAGCAGCAACGCCAGAACCCAGAAGCACUUACUGCCAGGAACAGGGUACUCCAGUGCGCCAUAGCGUCGCGGCCGCUGGGCGAGGGGUGGGACUGCAGGCACCGUGCAGCCGCGGACCAAUGAGCGGGGGCCGGACAGCCCGUGGCCCAAUAGCGGCGGCGCGGGCACGCUAGGGGCGGGCUGGGCGCGCCGACUUUUCCGGAAGAUCCGGAUAGUGCAUCCCGGCCACGGCGCGCCUGCUCUGGGCUCUCCGCGUGCCGCGUCGCUUUCUUUUCUUCCUCUGGAGCAGUUAUGGCGGCGGCGAAGACCCUGAACCCCAAGGCCAAGGUGGCCGGAGCGCAGGCGGCGCUGGCGUUCAACAUUAGCGGGGCGCGGGGUCUGCAGGACGUGCUGAGGACCAACCUGGGGCCCAAAGGGACCAUAAAGAUCAAAUUCAACACCCAACAGCUUCCUUAAUAGCAAAGGUAGCAACAGCCCAGGAUGAUAUAACUGGUGAUGGUACGACUUC